CAUAUUAUGUGAUCAAAAACAAAAUAAAAUUCAAAAAACAAAACAAAACAAUGAAUUUUUAAAAAAGAAGCCCCUGGUGCUGUGUAAAGUCCAUAUUCCUGGUCCCACUGCUGAGUACUCCAUGAAGCACCAGGUGAACUGUGCUUUCAAUAAGAGCCUCAGUGAUUCUCAAGCUCAGAGAAGUAGGGAAACCCUGGUUUAAGGCAGGUGACAGCUGAGAAAGAAUGAACCUUCCCUCACCUUGACCAAACCAUCAUCAGGUGAAGCUGAAUGGAAACCACCACCAUCAACAAGCAGGGGAAAAAACCUAUGCGAUUUCCUAGUGUUUUCCACAAGUACAUGACCCUUAACCACCAUAUAGCAAGGGUUUGUCACCAGGAUCUCCCUUAAAGAGCUUUCUCAGCACCCCCAGGAUCUUAUAUCAUUGGAUGAAUUGGGAGAAAACUAAGCUAAUGAGUGAAAUGGCCCUCCACAGAGUCCAUGUUGUUGUUAUCCAAUCAACAUCUGUCUCCUAUAAAAGAAACUCAAAGAGCUGUGUUGGAUGUUUCAUCUUGAAAGGAGUUUGACGUUUCUACUUGUUCAAGAGCUGCAUUGCAAGCCAGACAAGAUUCAUUAUGAUCUCAUCACCUCGAGUUUACGGUCAGUCAAACUGGUUUCCAAGAAUAACUCACAUCAAAUGUUCAUAUCAAUUAUACAAACAAUUCUUUUUGUUCUUUGCUGUAUUCAUCAUUUUGCUUUUUGGAAUUGCCAUGGCAACUUUCCCUCUGGAUCGCAAGACGUUACUCCUGGUAAUCACAAUAAUUAUUACUGCCAUCGUUUUUCUCAUCAUUACUGGAGUGCUCAUUUUUUAUGAAGUCUGCCGAAAGCUGGAGGAAUUUAUCCCUCCCCAAGUGGAAGAAUCAUGGAGGUAUAGAAUUGAACACAUUGAAAUUUAAGCUUCAGCAACAAGAUUCCAAUCGUCAGCACCUAUCAUCUUAUCUGAAAUCUGAACCUCCUUGGGACUUUGAACCUUUUUAGUCUUUUGAGCAUUUUAAAAGGAAUAAACAUUGACUUUUUAAAAGGUUA